rnacentral:rRNA from 1 species
AUUGCACGCUGGCGGCAUGCUUUACACAUGCAAGUCGUGCGAGUGGCGAACGGGUGAGUAACAUGUCGGAAAGUACCUAUUGAUGGGGGAUAACUACUGGAAAGGUUAGCUAAUACCGCCUAUUAUGCGAGGUGCCCAGAUGGGAUUAGCUGGUUGGUGGGGUAAAGGCUCACCAAGGGGCCGAUCAGUAGCGGGUCUGAGAGGAUGAUCAGCCACAGUGGGACUGAGACACGGUCCAGACUCCUACGGGAGGCAUCAGGGGGGAAUCGUGGACAAGGGGCGCAAGCCUGAUUAAGCCAUUCCGCGUGUGUGAAGAAGGCCUUCGGGUUGUAAAGCACUUUUGGAAGGGAGGCGUUACCUGAAGAAUAAGCACCGGCUAACUCCGUGCCAGCAGCCGCGGUAAUUC